CGCCCGGGAGCAGGGGCGGGGCUGGGAGGAGGCCGGGGCUCUAAGGAGCCAGGCUCUGGCAGGGGCGCCAGGUAAAGUUCAAGAAUCACUGAAUAUAGAUUUUGGUGACAUUCAAGAACAUAAUUCUUUGCCUUCAAAUGAGGUAAAAGAAAUAAUCUUUGGAGAGCAUGCUCCUGAAAGGGGACAUUAUGUUAUCGCUUCCAUCAGGAGGUGCUGGAAUACGAACAAGGCAAAGCUAGUCUGUAAGAACCUCUCUCAGAUGCGUCUCUUUUGGCUUGUCUGAUGCAUUUCAGGUGCUUAACUGCAGGUCAGUACAAUCGUGGACUCUAGAAGAAGAAAUGUUUGUUUCAUUGUCUGACUUGGCUAAUGAGAAGACUGUGUUAUGUUUCAAGUAGUGAUCUCUUUCUCAUUACUAAGUUACUUGCCUGCACUGUUUCCCAGGCCAGUCUGGAUUUAGAUUGUCUCUUUUCCAAGUGCAGCAGCAUUGCCAGAGCCAGAGUAUUAUUCCACCGUGAUACCACCAUUUGUUAUAGCCUAUUAAGUUCCAAGGAUGCUGAAGCCUGGGUUCUCAGGGACGCAUUUAUAUUUUCUCACCAUGUCUCCUAUAAGUGGGAACAUUGCUGGGAAAUUGUUGAGAAGUUGGUUUCAUUAUAUGUCAAUUAGAAUUGGCUUUCAAGAAUAUACUAAAAGGUGGCCAGCAAGAUGGUGCAGUAAUUUAAGGCACUUACUACCAAGCCUCGCCUUCUGAGCUUGGUUCCCCAGGAGCCCCACAGAGGAAGGAAAUAACUGAGCAUCACAAGUUGUCCUCUAACUCUACCUGUCUGUGCAUGUACACACAUACACAUGUACACACGAUAAAUGAAGGAACUCUGAAGUUUUUUCAGAAGUGGGUGGGGCUGGGGCCUGGACAGAUGGCUUAGUGGUUAAGCUCGCUGGCUGCUUUGCUAGAGGGCCUAGGUUCAAUUCACAGCUCCCACACAUGGCCUUACAGCUGUCUGUACCUCCAGUUCCAGGUCAUCUGACCCCUUUUCUGUCUUCAGGCACUAUACCAGGAGUGUACACAGUACACAGACAUGCAUGGAAUCAAAAUACCAAUACACAUAGAAUAACAAUUUAAAAAAAGAAAAUAAAUCUGAAAAGAAUGCACUAAAGGAUCUGUCCUAUGUAGCAAACCUAGAGCAGAAGCAGCAUGAGGUACUGGCAGAGUCAGUAUAUAAGCAAAGAGGCUCAGGUAGAGAAGAGAACAUCAUAACCAGAAAGUGGAAGUGCAGAGCAAAGGACAGCGUCGGUGUAAUGAAAACGCUCAGGAUGCCACCAAAUAGAAACCUCCUUUGUUCGCUGCCAGGCAUUGUAGCUGCUUCCACCCCAAAGGAAUGAGCAGAAUGAUCUUCUUUAUGCCAGUGACCUUGGUAUGGAAGCUUUGCCUCAUACUGCUUUGGUCUGCAAUGGUAGACAUUAGCAUAUGUCAUUAUAUGCUUAGUCAGCCAUUGUGCCUAGAAAAAAAAAAAAACUACUUACCUUGAAAUUACUCAGAGCCACAUGCCCAUAUAUAAUUUACAAGUACUCUGCCAAGUCAUGAAUUCAGGCCUAAUGCAGAAAAGGCUUUUACGUUCUGACGUGUGUUACCUACAAUUCAGCUGACUGGGUUAGCUGUUCUCCUAGAGACAGUGGUGGUCAAAGGCUUUUGGGUUUCUUUUUAGAUUUUUUAAAUUGGUGUGUGUGUGGGUGUGGGUGUGUGUGUGGGUGUGGGUGUGUGUGUAUGCGCGCGCACGCACGCGCGCACGCACGCACAUGAGUAAAGGCACUCAAAAGGCUAUAUGCUCCUUGGAGUUAGAUUUAUAGGCAAUUGUGGAUCUGAUGUUUGUGCUGGGAAUUGAACUUUGGGUCUCUGCAAAGCAGUAUUCACUCGUAACUGCGAAGCCAUCUCCCUCACCCUCCUUGGUUGGUUAUUUUGCACAGCACCAGUCUGAGUUUCCCCUUGUACAACUCGCUAAUCCCCAAGUGAGCAGCUACCGGGUCUGGUCUGCUGCUUAGACACUCUUGAAUAACCCUGCUUUCUGGUUGUUAACCUGAAGGAGAGUUCCCAUCAACCUCUGACUUGCUCUGCGAUGUUCACUUGUGCUUCAGCACAUAUUUGAGUCUCUUGUGCUGACUGCUGAGAUGAUCAAUAAACCUGCGUGGAAUUCGAUUUACAAACUCAAAUGUGCACAGCACACUGUGUAUACACGUUCUACGGUGCAGGGUCAGUGGGGCACUGGACCAGAGAGCCCUCUGGAGAAUGGAGUGUACGGCUGAGCCCUAGCCCAGCAGCUUUCUCCAGUAAGCCUUCACUUUUUACCCUGAUUUUUCAAGCCCUGAUUUUAAAGCAGCUUGCUAACCUGCUAACCUGUUGCCUGUGAUUUUCUGUUCCCUGCCAAACUGUCAUCUUUUUUACUGGCAAUGCUUCCUAUCGUAUUGUCUCUUCUGUUGUCCUUUUAACUAGUUAUUUGUUUUUUUAAAAAAAAAAAAUUCUGGCAUGGUGGCACAUGCCUUUAAUUCUAGCACUUGGGAAGCAGAGAUAGACAAUUUCUAUGAGGUUGAAUACAGCCUGGUCUACAUGGUAAGUUCCAGGACAGCCAGGACUAUAUAGAGAAACUUGUCUCAAAAAUAGAAAAUUCUCUCUUAGGGCUAGCCUGAUGGGUUAGCAGGCAGAGGUAUCUGCUGGCAAGUCUGACAGCCUGGGUUCAAUCCCUGGGGCCUGCAUGGGAAUGGAGAGAACUGACUUUUGUAGAUUGGCCUCCAACUUCCCCACAUAUGUGCACGCAUGCACACACACACUAAAUAUUCUUAAUUAAUAUGCACUCAACCUACUUACAAAACCUGAACUAUAUGUGUUCCUUAGAUAUGAGAUAGAGCUUGUCAUGAGCAGAAAAGUUACCCCCCCCCCCGCCCCCAUGGCCUAGAACACUGAUGCUUUAAGCUAGAGAAGAAUAUGAUUUCUGUUAGCUUCUUCUCCUUCACCACAAGAAUGGCUACAGUAGGUGGCCAGUUAGGACAGAUUUGCAUACAUACAGUGCAUACAUACAGUAGGUGGCCAGUUAGGACAGAAGUGCGUACAUACAGUAGGUGGCCAGUUAGGACAGAGUGCUUACAUAGGAAUGCCUGAGGGUGAAGACUACAGAGCUGUCUACAGGAGCCUCCUCGCUUCUACCAUCCCUUUGACUCUCUUUGCAAAGCAGAUACAGUCAGUCUAUCCCUGUAUAUAUUCCUAAGAAACAAUUUUGGUCUUUAGUACUUUUAGUGCAAAAAAAAAAGGAGCCCACUUGCUUAUCUGAACUAGCUCUCUAGAGCAGAC